UACAGAGGGUGCAAGCGUUGUUCGGAAUUAUUGGGCGUCAAGGGCGCGUAGGCGGUCGGGUAAGUCUGAUGUGAAAUCUCACAGCUUAACUGUGAAACUGCAUUGGAUACUAUUCGGCUUGAGAGUUGGAGGGGGGACUGGAAUUCUUGGUGUAGCAGUGAAAUGCGUAGAUAUCAAGAGGAACACCAGUGGCGAAGGCGAGUCCCUGGACAACUUCUGACGCUGAGGCACGAAAGCUAGGGGAGCAAACAGG
rnacentral:rRNA from 1 species